GAAGUUGGGUGAUUCAGUGAGUUUUCCUCAACUUUGUGAUAAAACUACAAGUCUUGCUUUUCUUUUCUUUUUACAAUUCCUUUCUUUUUGUUUCCUUCUUAGGUUGGAUAUAAGGUUCAGUUAGAGACUUAGAAGGCAUGAAAGGAAGAGAUACAUGCCUUCUCUUCUGCACCACUAGCUUUUUUGUUGAGAAGAUUGCUAGUUGAUGGAAAUUUGAAAGGUAUAACUCAUGUCAUUGUGGAUGAGAUUCACGAACGCAGAAUGAAUGAAGGACCUCCUUCCUUCGGCUAGAACUGAGGUUGAUUUUGAUGAGUGCAACCCUAGAUUCUGAGCUUUUCUGGCAGGGCUCAGAUAAUUCAUGUUCCAGAUGUUUUGGAAAGUACGGGUUGCAGGUUAACUCCAUACAAUCAGAUUGAUGAAACUGCAAGGCAUAGUGCUUAAGAUGCAUUUGCUUGUAUGAGAUUAACAUUUUGGCAUAGUGCUUUUUGUAAUCACAAGGCAAAGUAGUAAUUGAAGUGAUUGUAAAAAGCUGGUGGUGGUGGGACUUUGAGUUUGGAAUUUGGAGUGCUCAGCCAAUUGACAAAUGAUCCUAAUUCCUCACUUGAGACCUGUUGAAUAUAAGAGAACUGGUAAGCAGC